rnacentral:rRNA from 1 species
UACGUAGGGUGCGAGCGUUGUCCGGAAUUAUUGGGCGUAAAGGGCUCGUAGGCGGUUUGUCGCGUCGGGAGUGAAAACCCAGGGCUUAACUCUGGGCUUGCUUUCGAUACGGGCAGACUAGAGGUAUGCAGGGGAGAACGGAAUUCCUGGUGUAGCGGUGAAAUGCGCAGAUAUCAGGAGGAACACCGGUGGCGAAGGCGGUUCUCUUGGCAUUACCUGACGCUGAGGAGCGAAAGUGUGGGGAGCGAACAGG